rnacentral:rRNA from 1 species
CCAGACUCCUACGGGAGGCAGCAGUGGGGAAUAUUGCACAAUGGGGGAAACCCUGAUGCAGCAACGCCGCGUGAGUGAAGAAGUAUUUCGGUAUGUAAAGCUCUAUCAGCAGGGAAGAAGAAGGACGGUACCUGACUAAGAAGCCCCGGCUAACUACGUGCCAGCAGCCGCGGUAAUACGUAGGGGGCGAGCGUUAUCCGGAUUUACUGGGUGUAAAGGGAGCGUAGACGGUUAAUCAAGUCUGAAGUGAAAGCCCGCGGCUCAACUGCGGAACGGCUUUGGAAACUGAGUAACUGGAGUGCUGGAGGGGCAGGCGGAAUUCCUGGUGUAGCGGUGAAAUGCGUAGAUAUCAGGAGGAACACCGGUGGCGAAGGCGGCCUGCUGGGCAGUAACUGACGUUGAGGCUCGAAAGCGUGGGGAGCAAACAGGAUUAGAUACCCGCGUAG